rnacentral:rRNA from 1 species
GACGAACGCUGGCGGCGUGCUUAACACAUGCAAGUCGAACGAAGAGCGAUGGAAGCUUGCUUCUAUCACUCUUAGUGGCGAACGGGUGAGUAACGCGUAAUCAACCUGCCCUUCAGAGGGGGACAACAGUUGGAAACGACUGCUAAUACCGCAUACGAUCUAACCUCGGCAUCGAGGAAAGAUGAAAGGUGGCCUCUAUGUAUAAGCUAUCACUGAAGGAGGGGAUUGCGUCUGAUUAGCUAGUUGGAGGGGUAACGGCCCACCAAGGCGAUGAUCAGUAGCCGGUCUGAGAGGAUGAACGGCCACAUUGGGACUGAGACACGGCCCAGACUCCUACGGGAGGCAGCAGUGGGGAAUCUUCCGCAAUGGACGAAAGUCUGACGGAGCAACGCCGCGUGAGUGAUGACGGCCUUCGGGUUGUAAAGCUCUGUUAAUCGGGACGAAAGGCCUUCUUGCGAAUAGUGAGAAGGAUUGACGGUACCGGAAGAGAAAGCCACGGCUAACUACGUG